UGAGAGAAACAGACGUAGAGCAUGAGAGAGAAAUAGACAGAGAGAGAGAGAGAGGAUACAGUAUGUUCGUUUCACCUCCUAAUCAGUUUUCCAGGGGGAUCCAUCAGUGACUGCAGCACGUAAGGACACUCGGAAGCAGGAAAAAGGAAACAGCUCCUAAAAGCUUCAAUCGCAGCUUUAACAGCAUACAAGAGGAUGGACUCACGCGCACAUUUCACAGUUCGCAGGCUUUAUUGAACUGCUGCAGCCUGUCCAUCAUGUUGGGUCUGGACAACACCUCAGCAGACCUCACAGUCUGCCAACGAGAGCAUCUUUGUCCAUGUGUAAUGCAGCAUCAUGAGCGUGUUAGAGUUGCUUGCUAAACGGCUACUGAGGUUAUUUUAGGCACAAAUAUGCAUAAUGCUCAGCGCAAGAGGAACGGCUCGGUCGGAAGAAAGGAAACAUGCAACGCGCUCGGCUGCAGAUAAAUAAAGCGGACAUCAAAUCGAACACACAUUAAAAAAAAGAAAAGUGGCUGACCCUGGCCUGUUAGUCAAGGCUUUGUUCGGCAGUGUGAAUCAAAUGGCUGAUGUGUGACCAAGUAGUGAUUUGUCACCUUCCACCGUAGCUAAAUCUCCCCUUGCCAUGUCCUGCCAGACCAAUAAAAGACGAGCUAUGACAGCAAACACAAGAAUCAGCACGUUACAAAAAAAAAAAAAAAAAGAAGAUAUUUCAGAAUUGAAGAAAUGGAGAGAUGCCGCUGACAUGUGGUUGCUGGGAGACUGAUUGCGGUGAUUAUAAAAGGCCUGGAGUCAUCUGGAAGUGUCUCAUGUUGCAUAAAGAUGGGAAAUGUCAGUCAAGGCCGCCAAAAAGAGGAGAAGCGGGAGCGAGGCACAAAAUGAAAGAUGAUCUAUGAAUGAAAGUUGAAUUUGUCUCAGCUUCUAGAGAUAAUGACCACGAGGGUUGACUUUGUAGUUGCUUUUCAAUGCCGCCUUAUUUCCAUCUUGUUAGCAUAUGCUUAGCCCUUGAGUUACAGUUCCUUAUUUAAGUUUGACAUUUUUACUGUAUAGGACAAACAACAAUAUUUGGUAUCUCAGAUGAAAGUACGAAUGGACGGCACAUACCUCACUAAAAAAUACCUCGAUUGACCAAUUUUUUUCGUCUUGCGUUACGAGCAAAGAUUUGAGAUACAAGCGCGCUCUGACCCCCACCACUAGAUGACAACAGUCAAUUUGCCAACCACCAAUAAACCCCACAGAAGAAGAACAAGGAACGACAAUUCAUUUGAAAUGGACGCCCCUCUCGCCACCCCAUGCAACAUCCAAAUAUGUGAAGUGACGUGCGAUUCGUUCCGCAUCGUGUGGGACAUGACUCCCGGGGACACGGCCAGAGCCACACACUUCUUCAUUGACCUGAGCCGCAAAGAGUGCCGGGAUCCCAACCGCUUUAAACACAGGGAUGUGCCAACCAAACUGGUGGCGAAGGCCGUGCCCUUGCCCAUGGCCGUGAGGGGACACUGGUUCCUCAGCCCGUGCACAGAAUAUUGCGUCGCCGUGCAGACGGCGGUUCGACAGCCCGAUGGCGAAUACCUGGUGUCAGACUGGAGCCAAGUGGUGGAGUUCUGCACGGGAGACUACGCUAUAGAACACCUUCAGCAGCUUCUCGACAAGGCCCAAGGCUCUGCGGGAAGGCUCCUGAAAUUUUCUGUGUUUUAUCGCAAUCAGCAUCCAGAUUACUUUGACUGUGUCAGAAUGGAGUGUGCAGGUCUGAUGCGUCCUGCUCUUAAAGACACAAGCGGCAGUCAUGGUUCUCCGAUAAAUGGCAAACUGCACGGCGUCUUCUUUAGCUGCAACACUGAGUUUGAUACAGGACUCCCCCCCAAAGACUCACCCUACGGCCCCCUGCGCUUCCAGAUCCCGGCUGGACAACUGCUCAACCCGAACAUCUCGCUAUACUUUGCUGACUUCUAUUGCAUGUACACCGCCUACCACUACAUGAUUCUGGUGCUGGCCCCCGCGGGCACAGAGGGGGACCACUUCUGCAGAAGCCGCCUCCCCACGCUGGACUUGGCCAGCAACCCCUUCUUGACAUACACCGCCCCCCAGGGGCCGGGGGAAGAACCGCUGUACCGCCACGCCAGCGGCGUCAUCCUCGAGGUGCUUUUCACCGAGCCGGUCAGUUUGGGUCAGGGAACCGUGGAGCAAAUCAGCGGACAUCACCAGCUCAUGAGUUUGACCACGGCCAAUGCCAAGAAGGACCCGAGCUGCAAAGUGUGCAACAUCAGCGUGGGCCGCUGAGCCAGAUGACGGUUUAAGACGAGCCUGGGGGCGACCGUGCGUCCGAGGCCAAAACACUUGGAGCUCAUCGUUUUGGUUUUUUGUCGGCCAACACCUACAAAAAAAAAUAAAUAUAUAUAUAUAUAUAUAUAUAUAUAUCAAAAACAUUCACAUCAUGUGGGUGUGCAUGCUGCUUUGGUUUCUCCCUCCCGCCCAGGCUAGAAUAGUGUGGCUUCAAAUUACAAAUUAGAAUUCUAUCUCAUAGAGUUCCAUCAAGGGCAGCUAGAAACUGAAACCUUUUAUUACAUUCACAGCAGUGGAAAAGACUGAACAAAGCUAUUUGUGAUCCUCGGUUUCUUGAUACAGUUUUUGUUGUUGUUUCUUAAACUGGUGGUGUAUUUUCAAGGCCAAAAGAGGGGGCGUCAUUUCAGGUGCCAAAUUUUGAGGAAUUACAAACAUUUCAAAAGGAAUUAAGGAAAACAUGAAAUAGUACGGCAGCACAAUGGCCGACUGGUUAGCACGUCUGCUUCACAGUUCCGACCUCUGCGUUUUGAAUCUUGUCCCUGGCCUUCCUGCAUGUUUGCCUCGAAAUUGUGAGUCAAUCAAUGUGAGUGUAAAACUAAAGCACAGGUGUCAAACUCAAGGCCUGGGGGGCCAGAUCUGGCCCGCCACAUCACAUCAUGUGACCCGUGUAAGCAAAUCAUGUGCAUCUAGUUCAUGUUCUUCUGUUUGAAAGUUGCAAAUUGUCUUCACUUUUUAUAACGGUUAAAAAUGGUAAGCAUUUUAGAAUAGGAAAGUUAAGAGUGAUGCAGGCAGGCAGAUGCAUUUGGUACGGGCCACUUUCAACUGUACAAAAACCGAGACAAAAAAAGGUAAAAACCGAAUCAUACAAAAACUGAUGUUCCACUGCAGCCUAUUUAAUUAUAUGAUGUGGCGAUUAUAGAUUUAGGUUUCCAGAGUCAUAACGGCCCUCUGAGAGAAGCCAUAACUAGAAUGUGGGCCGUGGGAAAAAUUAGUUCGCCACCUCUGGUCUACAGUAUAUGUGCAGUUAACUGGGAUUGGCUGCAGCUCAUCUGUGUCACUAAUGAAAACUAGCGCUGUAGAAAAUGGAUGGGUGGAAUAAACAGUUACAGUAUCACUUUUGAGUAGCAACAGGCACCUUGACAAUGUUGGCUGCCCCAUGUGAGCCCGCCCUAUCACUUCACCCUCCUCUACCCAUGUUGCGCCCACCCCGUGCCACCCCCGGCUACAGCCAGCUUUGAGAUCGUCAAAGUUGGGCUCUGUGGCUUGUGACACACACCAACUAUAAGGACUUGUUCUGGUUUACUUUCACCUCACUAUAGGUUUGAAGUAAGGUGGCCCUAAAGACGUACUGCACUGGUGGAAGACACCCCAAGAGACACGUUCGCUGGUUAGGGCCCACCACUGUUUUCCAUUGUUAAUUAUGUGAACCUAAGCUUUACUUUUGUGCAUCUUUGCGGGACUAUUUUUCCAUGUGUCUGCAAAUGUGUAUUUUAGACAUCAGGCUAGACUUCAGUGAAAUACAUGCGCCAGUUACAGAUGUGAUAAGUAAAGAAUCAGCGGGUGCACAAAGCCUCCUGCUAUCAGUCGGACAGUUUAUCUUAACAGGCCUGAGCUAAGAUUAGCUUGUAUCCCGCUAUGGGGCUUGGAUUUGUCCCUGACGAGUAAUCUGUGACCUUUUUGGGAAUCCCAGAGUUGCCCAAAGUAAAAGGGAUCCCCAACCCUCUGUCGCACAAGAGCAAUGAAUGGGCUUACUCAAGUAAAACUCACACAAAGAAGAGAUUGGUAGUCAAUGAAAAUUUACCUUUAGAAGACAAGUAUUCUCUUUAUUAGAACGCAAUAAAAAAGGCAGAGAAAAGCACAACACACUUAGUAUAAUAAUCUUGUCUUCAAACAUUUACGUAUGCAUUAAAUUCUCAAGUUUAGCCUGAUGAGAGUCUUUGUUUGACCUUUAACUGUGACAAAGAUGUGAGCUCACACACACAUCAAUUGUGUAGUUCUGUCCAUUGUUGUUGUCCCAAAAGGUAUUACUCUGCCCUCCUGGUGAAUAAUUUAAGCAGAAUUCUAUCUUCCUCUUGGCAUCAAGCACUUUGGGUAUGUCUAUGUCAAACUCAAAGAUGUCUGUUUGCGGCCCUCCAAAGCGCUGCUGCAAGUACGUGCAGGGGACGUCUCUGUAGCUCUGCCACGAGUCAAAGGUGAUACGCACACGCACGUCUUUCUGGAAGCUGACAUUUUGGACUCGGACGGUGCCUUUGAGGACUUGCUCGGUGACCGUGCAGUUCUCCAGGGUGACCAUGUUCUCUGCGAGCUUGGCUCGAAAGGCCUGGAAAUUAGCGGAGGGCUGCGGGAAGCCAAGCGUGAGCUGCGUUCCCGGGCAGCAGGUGCUGACCGUGCAGCUGUAACCGGCCUCCGUCAUCACGGCCAAACCCUGGAGGGACGGCAGGGGGUCCAGGUCGCAGUGGUCCUCCUCAUCAGAAAAGACUCGCACAUCUGUCAGCGACCGGCCCGUGGAGUCAGCGAAAACCACAUGCUUGUUUUUGACGGGGGCCCAAACAUCAUCGUCGUCAUAAUCAUCCAAGUCGUCGAGGUAACCCGCGAGACUCUGGGUUGCCCGGACUCGGCGUAGGACGUCAGAUGAUACGUGUUUUGGAGGUACGGAGCGGAUGCAAGGUCGCAGCGGUUUCAGGAUGGGCACCCAAACAUGAGGACACAAUUGUUUACGUUGGUUCAAACACAGCCGGACGGCAAUCUCCACCAGUCCAGCUGACUGUGCCAUCGAGCCGAGGCCGAAUAUGGAUGAGAGAACACCACAAAUGAAUUAUGCCUCCACUUGCUCGGUGCCUUAAGAGCGCAUGCACAUCAUCUCCAUUAAGUUCUUACGUUGUGCUGGAUGUCUCCAUGCUGGUGCUGUGGUGCAGAGCGAGGGAUUCAAUGUCCCCGUAUUUCCAAGUCUUGGAUUAGAGAAAAUCAUGAACACAAAGGAGUCCAGGCAUGGCGCUGGUACUGAGUUGCCAUCAACAUGAAUGAAAUUCGCACAAAGCAGCCAGUGGAGGCAGGCCAGAACAGGAGUUAUGAGCUCCCUCUUAUGUGUUCCAGUUAAGAAGCAAGCAGCAGAAUGUUGGACUAAUUGGAAAUAUUUGAGGGAGGGCUGGCUGACUCCAAAGUAAAGUGCAUAACAGUAAACCAUCAGAAAUGUGACAAAGGCAUGGAUGAGUGUUUACGGAGAAGUCAGAUGGGAUAGGCUCCAGCUCACCCGCGACCCUACUGACAAUAAGCCGUAUAAGAGAAUGGAUGGGUGCACUUUGGAGGUUCCGCUGUACUUUAUAAGCUCUACUCACUCUUUGGCAAAGGCAAACUCCUCAGGUGAAAGCAGCGACGGUUCUCCUUUGCUGCGAGACUUCUCCUUCUCGAGGACAUGCGGGAAGAACUUUUCAAUCUAAACCCAAACAAACACGAGGCCGUGGUGUCAAACAGAAUGCACCGACUCAGAGGUGUGCGAACAUUUGAUGAACUGACCGACCUUCUGCAGGCGGGAGCGCACGUAGCUGCACAGCACAAAGCGGAUGCGGUCGAUCUCCAUGCGAUGAAUGCCGGCCUUGGCGUCGCCUUUCUUCACUCUCUGGAGGUUUUGUUCCUGGUGAAGCGAAUGGAUGAGUUGACGGAGUGGACAAUACAAAAAGAUAUAAAAGUGGAUGCAAGUAGAUAUUAAAAGUCUAUUCUAGCAUCUUCAAAUACCAGGUUUUUGUUAUACAAAAAAAUAUAACUUGCACAAAUCAAUUGAAUUAAAAAAAUAUGUCCCUCAGUGAUAUAAUGUGGUUGUACAUGUGUGCACACCCUCUUGUAAAUUUGUAACUUUUGAAAUUAUGCUUAAAAAGUUCAACGUUGCUUUCAUCAGACCCUAACACAUUUUCCAACAUGUGUUUGGGAGAUUUCAAGUGUUUUUUUUUUUUUUUUUCUUAGUAAGAUAAGGCUUGUCGUCCAUAGUCCAGACAUAAGAAGAAGAUGGGAGAUUGCUGUCACAAGUACUAAACAGCCAGUACUUGUCAGAAAUUCCAGAAGCUUUUAGAAUAUUGCUGUCCGACUCUUGGUGGCCUCCCUGAUCAGUUUUCUUCUCAUUUUUUUCAUCUGUUUUGGAGGGAUAUCUACUUCUUGGUAGUGUCACUGUUGUGGCAUAUUUUCUCCACUUGAUGUUUGAAUUAAUUUAACAUUUAAUGCCUUGGCAUUUUUUUUUGCAUACACUCUCCUAAAGGAUACAUUUGAACAAUGAGAUCCUUUUGAUGCUCUGGAAGUCUCUGCAGAGUGCAGACCGUGGCUGUCAAAUGUGACUACAAAAAUGUCACCGCCAAAAAAGCCUUUAUAACAUCUGAAAUUUAUUUGGGGUAAAUCAAAGGUACUUCAAAUCAUGGCAGGUGUGUGCUGACUCCCAUUGAAAUUAGUUUGAAUGCGAUUGUUUAACUCUGAACACAGCCACAUCCCCAGUUAUGAGGGUGUGCACACUUGUACAAACACAUUAUCUCAGGUGUUUAUUUUUAGUCCCUACUUUUGAAUUGUUUCCCCCAAAUUGGGUCACAUAAUGGUGGAAAAUGCUUUGAAAUAAUCUUUGGUUCAUUUCUUUUCUUCUUUUUUUACAUCACAAAAAAAAAGCCAUUUUAACAGGGGGCAUUUGACUUUUUAUAUUUACUGUAUAUAUUCUUAAGCUCCUAAUGGCGCCUCUGUAUAUUGUCAGUUUAUCUUAUGUAUCCUGUUUGUUUAUGCAUGGACCAAGUACGUAAAUAAACCUGAUUGAUUUUGCCAUGGUCCACCCCUCC